rnacentral:rRNA from 1 species
CCUACGGGUGGCAGCAGUGGGGAAUAUUGCACAAUGGGGGAAACCCUGAUGCAGCGACGCCGCGUGAGUGAAGAAGGAAUUCGGUAUGUAAAGCUCCAUCAGCAGGGAAGAAAAUGACGGUACCUGAGUCAGAAGCCCCGGCUAACUACGUGCCAGCAGCCGCGGUAAUACGUAGGGCAGAAGCGUUAUCCGGAUUUACUGGGUGUAAAGGGAGCGUAGACGGCAGUGCAAGUCUGGAGUGAAAGGCUGGGGCUCAACCCCCGGACUGCGCUGGAUACUGUAAGGCUGGAGUGCAGGAGAGGUAAGUGGAAUUCGUAGUGGAGCGGUGAAAUGCAUAGAUAUUAGGAGGAACACCAGUGGCGAAGGCGGCAUACUGGACUGUAACUGACGUUGAGGCUCGAAAGCGUGGGGAGCAAACAGGAUUAGAUACCCCAGUAGUC